GCGCAAAUGAUGGAAAAACUGCUGUGUGUGUGGCGGGGGGGGGGGGGGGGGGGGGGAAAUGACAUGAACAAAGGAACCACUGAUGUGC